CUUAUUCUUAGUCGAUAUUCAUCCACUUACGGCGGCGACGAGCCACACAAUUCUCUUCCUUCCCCCGUAGAAGCCCCUAGAUGCAUCAUCAAGGGUAGACCCACUCGUCCUUCUUGCGGAAGCCCCAUUCCUACCAUCUCAUCCACCUGAUGUUCCGCUAUCAGCAGUUACCACCGCAUAAUUUACGCCUUUUCCCCUCGCCAUCUCGCCAUGCCCUCUCUACCUUGUUUUCUCAUAGAGGAGAUACCUCCAGGGCUUUGAUAUAUCACCGUUCACCAUCCGCCGUCCUCACACACAGAUCUAAGUUUCGGCGAGGUCACGAGCAUGCGAAAAGGUUAGUCCACCUCCCCCGUAGAUCUAGGGUUCCGAUAUAUGUUGGAGGUGUAUGUGGCUAGUGCAAAUCCACACCUAGAUCCAAAGAGCUUGAGUCGACAUAUAGCAGGCGACCCACUCAUCCUUCCCAGAUCUGGCAACCAUCGAGUUUUUUCGGCGAUUCGAUGUUGUAGGGGAACGGGGAAGGACCUGCGCAAAAAAGGCAUCUGGAGUACUAUGGUUUAUGUGUGCCUAUGAUUUGAGUUUAAGGAUCCGCUAUUAGCUAAUGGAGGAUGUGCACACCUGAUAUUAUACAUUUUUGACAUCUUCAUUCA